GACGAACGCUGGCGGCGUGCUUAACACAUGCAAGUCGAACGGAAAGGCCCUGCUUUUGUGGGGUGCUCGAGUGGCGAACGGGUGAGUAACACGUGAGUAACCUGCCCUUGACUUUGGGAUAACUUCAGGAAACUGGGGCUAAUACCGGAUAGGAGCUCCUGCUGCAUGGUGGGGGUUGGAAAGUUUCGGCGGUUGGGGAUGGACUCGCGGCUUAUCAGCUUGUUGGUGGGGUAGUGGCUUACCAAGGCUUUGACGGGUAGCCGGCCUGAGAGGGUGACCGGCCACAUUGGGACUGAGAUACGGCCCAGACUCCUACGGGAGGCAGCAGUGGGGAAUAUUGCACAAUGGGCGGAAGCCUGAUGCAGCAACGCCGCGUGCGGGAUGACGGCCUUCGGGUUGUAAACCGCUUUCGCCUGUGACGAAGCGUGAGUGACGGUAAUGGGUAAAGAAGCACCGGCUAACUACGUGCCAGCAGCCGCGGUGAUACGUAGGGUGCGAGCGUUGUCCGGAUUUAUUGGGCGUAAAGGGCUCGUAGGUGGUUGAUCGCGUCGGAAGUGUAAUCUUGGGGCUUAACCCUGAGCGUGCUUUCGAUACGGGUUGACUUGAGGAAGGUUAGGGGAGAAUGGAAUUCCUGGUGGAGCGGUGGAAUGCGCAGAUAUCAGGAGGAACACCAGUGGCGAAGGCGGUUCUCUGGGCCUUUCCUGACGCUGAGGAGCGAAAGCGUGGGGAGCGAACAGGCUUAGAUACCCUGGUAGUCCACGCUGUAAACGGUGGGUACUAGGUGUGGGGUCCAUUCCACGGGUUCCGUGCCGUAGCUAACGCUUUAAGUACCCCGCCUGGGGAGUACGGCCGCAAGGCUAAAACUCAAAGGAAUUGACGGGGCCCCGCACAAGCGGCGGAGCAUGCGGAUUAAUUCGAUGCAACGCGUAGAACCUUACCUGGGUUUGACAUGGAUCGGGAGUGCUCAGAGAUGGGUGUGCCUCCUUUGGGGUCGGUUCACAGGUGGUGCAUGGCUGUCGUCAGCUCGUGUCGUGAGAUGUUGGGUUAAGUCCCGCAACGAGCGCAACCCUUGUUCACUGUUGCCAGCACGUUAUGGUGGGGACUCAGUGGAGACCGCCGGGGUCAACUCGGAGGAAGGUGGGGAUGACGUCAAGUCAUCAUGCCCCUUAUGUCCAGGGCUUCACGCAUGCUACAAUGGCUGGUACAGAGAGUGGCGAGCCUGUGAGGGUGAGCGAAUCUCGGAAAGCCGGUCUCAGUUCGGAUUGGGGUCUGCAACUCGACCUCAUGAAGUCGGAGUCGCUAGUAAUCGCAGAUCAGCAACGCUGCGGUGAAUACGUUCCCGGG
rnacentral:rRNA from 1 species